AGACAUGGAAUCUCUUUCUUCAGUGUUCCGUUUUCUUUCGAUGCGUGUACAGUACUCGAAUUAAGGAAAGGGAUUCGAAAGAAAGAAAGUUUCCAUGAAAAAGGAAAAGGAGCACUUGCAUCUACCCUUGU